CGCAAUGGGCGAAAGCCUGACGGAGCGACGCCGCGUGAUUGAUGAAGUCCUUCGGGAUGUAAAGAUCUUUUAUGAGGGAAAAAGUUUAUUGAUGGUACCUCAUGAAUAAGGAGUUGCUAAACUCGUGCCAGCAGCAGCGGUAAUACGAGUGCUCCAAGCGUUAUCCGGAAUCAUUGGGCGUAAAGGGUGUGUAGGUGGUAAUGUUAGUCUUCUGUUAAAUUCUUCGGCUCAACCGGGGGCAUGCAGGGGAAACGGCAUUUACUAGAGGAUGCGAGAGCCCCAUGGAACUCAUGGAGUAGGGGUGAAAUCCGUUGAUAUCAUGGGGAACACCGAAAGCGAAGGCAAUGUGCUGGCGCACUCCUGCCCCUGGGACACGAAAGCGU
rnacentral:rRNA from 1 species